UGAAAUCUGGCGUCCUCAGGGCGUCCGAGUUGUAAUCUAUAGAGGCGUUUUCCGUGCCGGACCGUGUCCAAGUUCCUUGGAACAGGAUAUCAAAGAGGGUGACAAUCCCGUACUUGACACGACGACCGGUGCUCUGUGAUACGUCUUCUACGAGUCGAGUUGUUUGGGAAUGCAGCUCAAAAUGGGUGGUGAGUUCCAUCUAAAGCUAAAUAUUGGCGAGAGACCGAUAGCGAACAAGUACCGUGAGGGAAAGAUGAAAAGCACUUUGGAAAGAGAGUUAAACAGUACGUGAAAUUGUUGAAAGGGAAACGAUUGAAGUCAGUCGUGACCGAGAGGCUCAGCCGGUUCUGCCGGUGUAUUCCCCUCGGUCGGGUCAACAUCAGUUUUGUCCGGUGGAUAAGGACGGUAGGAAGGUGGCACCCUCGGGUGUGUUAUAGCCUGCCGUCGCAUACAUCGGGUGAGACUGAGGAACGCAGCUCGCCUUUAUGGCCGGGGUUCGCCCACGUCCGAGCUUAGGAUGU
rnacentral:rRNA from 1 species